rnacentral:rRNA from 1 species
CUUUUUGUAUAUAUUUAAAGUCGUACCUGCUCACUGAAAUAUUAAAGAGCCGCGGUAUUUUGACCGUGCAAAGGUAGCAUAAUCAUUAGUCUUUUAAUUGAAGACUGGAAUGAAUGGUUUGACGAAAUGAUGACUGUCUUAGGAUUAUAAUUUGAAAUUUACUUUUAAGUUAAAAGGCUUAAAUACUAAUAAGGGACGAGAAGACCCUAUAGAUCUUAAUAUAAAUAAAUUAUUAUUAAUUAUAGUUGUUUUUUAAGUAUUAAUUUAUUAUUAUUUGGUUGGGGUGAUGUGAGAAUAUUUUAACUUCUUAUAUAUGUACUUUGAUGAAUGAAUUAUUGAUUUUGUAUUAUGGAAUAAAGAUAAAGAUACCUUAGGGAUAACAGCGUAAUUUUAUUUGAGAGUUCAAAUUGACAAUAAAGAUUGCGACCUCGAUGUUGGAUUAAAAUUAUUAAUUAGUGCAGUAGUUAAUUAAAUUGGUCUGUUC